UGUGCCCAGGUGUCCCCAGGUGUCCCCAGGUGUGCCCAGGUGUCCCCAGGUGUACCCAGGUGUGCCCAGGUGUGCCCAGGUGUGCCCAGGUGUACCCAGGUGUGCCCAGGUGUGUGCCCAGGUGUGCCCAGGUGUGCCCAGGUGUGCCCA